AAGGGCACCACAAGAACGCGUGGAGCAUGUGGCUUAAUUUGACUCAACGCGGGAAAUCUUACCGGGUCCGGACACACUGAGGAUUGACAGAUAUAUAAAAUACAAUACUUUGUAUUUUAAAAAAUGCUAGUUCUUUCAUGAUUAUGUGAUAGGUGGUGCAUGGCCGUUCUUAGUUCGUGGAGUGAUCUGUCUGCUUAAUUGCGUUUCACUUAAAUAAAUAAUUAUUAUAUACACUACGGUGUUAAUAUAUAGAUUAUUAUAUAGAAAGCAACGAACGUGAUCGUUGUCUUUUAUUGUGUAUACUAUACAUACACACUUUAAUUUAUUUUAAAUUAAAGAGACCGCUGUAUUUUCUUUUAAACCAGAGGAAGGUAACGGCAAUAACAGGUCUGUGAUGCCCUUAGAUGUUCCGGGCUGCACACGUGCUACAAUAAUUAUUGCAGUGUGUAUCUCAUACAAUAUAAUAUUCAUACACUUGUGUAUUUAUAUUUAAAAAUCCUACAUCGAGAGUUUUUAACUCGUAGGUAAUCAAUUAGAAGUAAUGUAUUUCCAAAUAUAUGUAAUACACUAUAGUGUAUAUAAAUAUUCACGCGUAUUUUUAUACGUGCAUGUAAUAUUUUUCAUAUACACUCCUUACAUAAAAUUAUUUUAUAGUGGGGAUAAAGGAUUGUUAAUUUUUCCUUUUGGUUUUAACUAGGAAUGCCUUGUACGGGUCUAUGGUUCAAUAAACCACCCGGAAUACGUCCCUGCCCUUUGUACACACCGCCCGUCGCUCUUACCGAUGAACUCUUCUAUGAGUUUCAGGGAUUGAACACACUUUAAUAAAAAACUUAAACGAAUAGUGUGGUUUAAAGGAAAGAGAAGUCGUAAUCAAGGCAUCCGUAGGUGAACCU
rnacentral:rRNA from 1 species